rnacentral:rRNA from 1 species
UACGAAGGGGGCUAGCGUUGUUCGGAAUUACUGGGCGUAAAGCGCACGUAGGCGGAUAUUUAAGUCAGGGGUGAAAUCCCAGAGCUCAACUCUGGAACUGCCUUUGAUACUGGGGAUCUUGAGUCCGGGAGAGGUGAGUGGAACUGCGAGUGUAGAGGUGAAAUUCGUAGAUAUUCGCAAGAACACCAGUGGCGAAGGCGGCUCACUGGCCCGGUACUGACGCUGAGGUGCGAAAGCGUGGGGAGCAAACAGG